rnacentral:rRNA from 1 species
UACGGGGGGAGCAAGCGUUGUUCGGAUUUACUGGGCGUAAAGGGCGCGUAGGCGGCGCGACAAGUCACUUGUGAAAUCUCUGGGCUCAACCCAGAACGGUCAAGUGAUACUGUCGUGCUAGAGUGCGGAAGGGGCAACUGGAACUCUUGGUGUAGCGGUGAAAUGCGUAGAUAUCAAGAGGAACACCUGCGGCGAAGGCGGGUUGCUGGGCCGACACUGACGCUGAGGCGCGAAAGCUAGGGGAGCAAACGGG